GACGAACCGUGCGAACGUUGUUCGGAAUCACUGGGCUUAAAGGGCGCGUAGGCGGCCUGCCAAGUCGGGGGUGAAAUCUUUCGGCCCAACCGGAAACGUGCCCCCGGUACUGGCAGGCUCGAGCGAGGCAGGGGCGGGGGGAACUUCCGGUGGAGCGGUGAAAUGCGUUGAUAUCGGAAGGAACGCCGGUGGCGAAAGCGCCCCGCUGGGCCUCUCCUGACGCUGAGGCGCGAAAGCCAGGGGAGCAAACGGG
rnacentral:rRNA from 1 species